rnacentral:rRNA from 1 species
AGAGUGGCGAACGGGUGAGUAACACGUGACCAACCUGCCUCUUACAUUGGGACAACCAAAAGAAAUUCUGGCUAAUACCAAAUACUCCGCACAUAUCACAUGAUGUAUGCGGGAAAGCUUUUGCGGUAAGAGAUGGGGUCGCGGCCCAUUAGGUAGACGGCGGGGUAGAAGCCCACCGUGCCGAUGAUGGGUAGCCGGGUUGAGAGACCGACCGGCCACAUUGGGACUGAGAUACGGCCCAGACUCCUACGGGAGGCAGCAGGC